GAGAGUAUAGCUCAGUGGUAGAGUGCAAUGUUUAACAUGCACGAGUUCCUGGGUUCAAUCCCCAGUGCCUCCC
rnacentral:tRNA from 1 species